rnacentral:rRNA from 1 species
UACAGAGACUGCAAGCGUUAUUCGGAUUCACUGGGCGUAAAGGGUGCGCAGGCGGUUGCGUGUGUCAGGUGUGAAAUCUCGGGGCUUAACCCCGAAACUGCGCCUGAAACUACGUGACUAGAGCAUUGGAGAGGGUAGCGGAAUUCAUGGUGUAGCAGUGAAAUGCGUAGAUAUCAUGAGGAACACCAGAGGCGAAGGCGGCUACCUGGACAAUUGCUGACGCUCAGGCACGAAAGCGUGGGGAGCAAAAGGGAUUAGAUACCCCCGUAGUCC